GAUGAACGCUGGCGGCGUGCCUAAUACAUGCAAGUCGAGCGAACAGAUGAGGAGCUUGCUCCUCUGACGUUAGCGGCGGACGGGUGAGUAACACGUGGAUAACCUACCUAUAAGACUGGGAUAACUUCGGGAAACCGGAGCUAAUACCGGAUAAUAUAUUGAACCGCAUGGUUCAAUAGUGAAAGACGGUUUUGCUGUCACUUAUAGAUGGAUCCGCGCCGCAUUAGCUAGUUGGUAAGGUAACGGCUUACCAAGGCAACGAUGCGUAGCCGACCUGAGAGGGUGAUCGGCCACACUGGAACUGAGACACGGUCCAGACUCCUACGGGAGGCAGCAGUAGGGAAUCUUCCGCAAUGGGCGAAAGCCUGACGGAGCAACGCCGCGUGAGUGAUGAAGGUCUUCGGAUCGUAAAACUCUGUUAUUAGGGAAGAACAAAUGUGUAAGUAGCUAUGCACGUCUUGACGGUACCUAAUCAGAAAGCCACGGCUAACUACGUG
rnacentral:rRNA from 1 species